rfam:Strongylocentrotus purpuratus Contig134964_fixed, whole genome shotgun sequence.
UGGCUCAGUCAGUAGAGCGUCCGCCUCACAACCGGGAGGUCAUGGGUUCGAAUCCCGG